GAUGAACGCUGGCGGCGUGCCUAAUACAUGCAAGUCGAGCGAACAGACGAGGAGCUUGCUCCUCUGACGUUAGCGGCGGACGGGUGAGUAACACGUGGAUAACCUACCUAUAAGACUGGGAUAACUUCGGGAAACCGGAGCUAAUACCGGAUAAUAUAUUGAACCGCAUGGUUCAAUAGUGAAAGACGGUUUUGCUGUCACUUAUAGAUGGAUCCGCGCCGCAUUAGCUAGUUGGUAAGGUAACGGCUUACCAAGGCAACGAUGCGUAGCCGACCUGAGAGGGUGAUCGACCACACUGGAACUGAGACACGGUCCAGACUCCUACGGGAGGCAGCAGUAGGGAAUCUUCCGCAAUGGGCGAAAGCUUGACGGAGCAACGCCGCGUGAGUGAUGAAGGUCUUCGGAUCGGAAAACUCUGUUAUUAGGGAAGAACAAAUGUGUAAGUAACUAUGCACGUCUUGACGGUACCUAAUCAGAAAGCCACGGCUAACUACGUG
rnacentral:rRNA from 1 species